rnacentral:ncRNA from 1 species
AUGCAUUGAGAUCGGAAAGAACACCAACGGCGAAAGCACUCUGCUGGGCCGACACUGACACUGAGAGACGAAAGCUAGGGGAGCAAAUGGGAUUAGAGACCCCAGUAGUCCUAGCCGUAAACGAUGGAUACUAGGUGCUGUGCGACUCGACCCGUAUAGUAUUGUAGCUCACGCAUUAAGUAUCCUGCCUAGGGAGUACGUUUGCAAGAAUGAAACUCAAAGGAAUUGACGAGAGCCCACACAAGCGGUGGAGCAUGUGGUUUAAUUUGAUGCAAAGCAAAGAACCUUACCAGGGCUUGACAUGACGCGAAUCCUCUUGAAAGAGAGGGGUGCC